rnacentral:rRNA from 1 species
CCUACGUGAGGCAGCAGUAGGGAAUAGUGCUCAAUGGGGGAAACCCUGAAGCAGCAACGCCGCGUGGAGGAUGAAGGUUUUCGGAUUGUAAACUCCUUUUGUUAGAGAAGAAAAUGACGGUAACUAACGAAUAAGCACCGGCUAACCCCGUGCCAGCAGCCGCGGUAAUACGGAGGGUGCAAGCGUUACUCGGAACCACUGGGCGUAAAGAGCGCGUAGGCGGGAUAGCAAGUCAGAUGUGAAAUCCUAUGGCUUAACCAUAGAACUGCAUUUGAAACUGUUAUUCUAGAGUAUGGGAGAGGUAGGUGGAAUUCUUGGUGUAGGGGUCACAUCCGUAGAGAUCAAGAGGAAUACUCAUUGCGACGGCGACCUGCUAGAACAUACCUGACGCUGAUGCGCGAACGCGUGGGGAGCAAACAGGAUUAGAUACCCGUGUAGUC